UUUGUUUGAUACUUGAGAACGUUUUGAUUGGACUUUAAGGCACAAACAUUAUUCCAUGUCACCAGUCUCAGGUUCAGAAGAGUCUCCAGUCUGGUCUCCAGUCUCUGGUUGUAAAAGUGGAUGUGAGUUCCUGGCUGGUUCUGGUC